rnacentral:misc_RNA from 1 species
AUCGUUGCCCGAUGCCUAUUGCACUGUGAUAGGAAAUUCUAGGGCGAAAGAUGGCUUCCCGUGAGCGUUGUUGCCUCGCGGUUGGUUGAAAAUCGAGUCCUUGGUAGGGUGUGCCAUGAUAGGUGGUGGUCGAGUUUGCACGAGACCGAUCAUGUGUGCGCUCCCCAAAAUAUGGACUCUUUGACCCCACACGCGUCUUUUGACGUCA